rnacentral:rRNA from 1 species
UAAGGAAUAUUGGUCAAUGGACGCAAGUCUGAACCAGCCAUGCCGCGUGAAGGAUGAAGGUCCUCUGGAUUGUAAACUUCUUUUAUCUGGGACGAAAACGGGAUUUUUAUCUCAAUUGACGGUACCAGAGGAAUAAGCACCGGCUAACUCCGUGCCAGCAGCCGCGGUAAUACGGAGGGUGCGAGCGUUAUCCGGAUUUACUGGGUUUAAAGGGUGCGUAGGUGGGCUUAUAAGUCAGUGGUGAAAUCUCCGAGCUUAACUUGGAAACUGCCGUUGAUACUAUAGGUCUUGAAUUAUCUGGAGGUAAGCGGAAUAUGUCAUGUAGCGGUGAAAUGCUUAGAUAUGACAUAGAACACCAAUUGCGAAGGCAGCUUACUACAUAUAAAUUGAUGCUGAGGCACGAAAGCGUGGGGAUCAAACA